AAAAGUGAUAUAGAUAGAUAUAUAGAUAGAUAGAUAGAGAGAUAGAAAGAUCGAUAGAGAGAUGGAUAGAUAGAUGGAUAGAUAGGUAGAUAGAUAGAUAGAUAGAUAGAUAGAUAGAUAGAUAGAUAGAGAUGAAUACAUGGAGGGAUAGAUGGAUAGAUAGGUAGGUAGAUAGAUAGAGAUGGAUAGAUGGAGGGAUAGAUAGAUAGAUAGAUAGAUGGAUAAUGGAUAGAUAGA